rnacentral:misc_RNA from 1 species
UAUGCAGAGCAACAGUUUAAUGCAUUUGAAAUGGUGAUUGAAUUGGGAUUAGCAGUGGAAAUUAAAAUGGAUUAUAGGAAUGACAGUGGAAUAAUUGUGAAUUGCGAUGAAAUAGAGAGAGGUAUAAAAUGUUUGAUGGAGCAUGAUAGUGAGAAAAGAAAGAAGGUGAAGGAGAUGAGUGAGAAGAGCAGAAUGGCAUUAAUGGAAGGUGGAUCUUCGUGCUCUUGGUUAGAAAGUCUAAUAAAAGAUGUGAUGAAUAAUUUAGCAUAAAAUAAUUAUAAUAAAGUUAUUAUUUUUAAAUUUAAUGAAAGUCUGAGUAAUAAUUGAUAGGUUAUAUAAUAAGAUGUAUUCAUUUUCUCAUAAAAUAAGUAGUUGAGGAG